rnacentral:rRNA from 1 species
CCUACGGGUGGCAGCAGUGAGGAAUAUUGGUCAAUGGACGAGAGUCUGAACCAGCCAAGUAGCGUGAAGGAUGACUGCCCUAUGGGUUGUAAACUUCUUUUAUAAAGGAAUAAAACGAGGCACGUGUGCCUUUUUGCAUGUACUUUAUGAAUAAGGAUCGGCUAACUCCGUGCCAUCAGCCGCGGUACUACGGAGGAUCCGAGCGUUAUCCGGAUUUAUUGGGUUUAAAGGGAGCGUAGAUGGGUUGUUAAGUCAGGUGUGAAAGUUUGCGGCUCAACCGUAAAAUUGCAAUUGAUACUUGCAGACUUGAGUACAGUUGAGGUAAGCGGAAUUCGUGGUGUAGCGGUGAAAUGCUUAGAUAUCACGAAGAACCCCGAUUGCGAAGGCAGCUUACUAAACUGUGACUGACAUUGAUGCUCGAAAGUGUGGGUAUCAAACAGGAUUAGAUACCCUGGUAGUC